rnacentral:tRNA from 1 species
UUCUUUAUGGCUCUGUGGUCUAGAGGUAACGUACUUGCCCUUCGGGGUCCCGGGUUCGAUUCCCGGUCGAGGAAC